rnacentral:rRNA from 1 species
UACGUAGGGUGCAAGCGUUAAUCGGAAUUACUGGGCGUAAAGCGUGCGCAGGCGGUUUGUAAGUUUGUCGUGAAAUCCCCGGGCUCAACCUGGGAAUGGCGAUGAAGACUGCAAGGCUAGAAUCUGGCAGAGGGGGGUGAGAAUUCCACGUGUAGCAGUGAAAUGCGUAGAGAUGUGGAGGAACGACCGAUGGCGCAAGGCAGCCCCCUGGGUCAAGAUUGACGCUCAUGCACGAA